rnacentral:lncRNA from 13 species
ACAUUUUCUUAGGAAAAGCAGAAGGUUGUGAUGGAAGAAACUAAGGAUCUUGGAAUUGGAUAGACCUAUUCCCAUCUUCUCUAACUUCAAAGUACUGCAAACAGGUUUUCGCCAUGUGGUCCAGGCUGGUCUCAAACUCCUGAGCUCAAGGAAUCCGCCCACCUCAGCCUCCCAGAGUGCUGGGAUUACAGACAUGAGCCACCACACCCUGCCUCAGGAUACAAUUUUUAAACUACAGAAAGUCAAGGGUUCUGUCAGAAUCUACUCUUAAAAUACAAUCCACGUGUAAAGAAGCUGAUUCAACAGCAAUAUCCAAGAUGAAAAAUGGACCAGAAGAGACCAAGACAGGAAAU